rnacentral:rRNA from 1 species
UAUAGUUUACAUGAAAAUCAAUGGUUAUAUGGAUAACUGCACGAAUUGUGGAGCUAAUACAUGCGCAAAAAGCCGACUCUUGGGAAGGCUUGUAUUUAUUAGAUACAGAACCAAUCCCCUCGGGGUAUUUGGAUGAUUCAUAAUAAACGAAUGAAGCUCAUGGUUUGUACCGGGGCUGUUUCAUUCAAGUCUCUGACCUAUCAGCUUUCGACGGUAGGGUAUUGGCCUACCGUGGCUAUGACGGGUAACGGAGUAUUAGGGUACGAUUCCGGAGAGGGAGCCCGAGAAACGGCUACCACA